rnacentral:rRNA from 1 species
UACGGAGGGAGCUAGCGUUGUUCGGAAUUACUGGGCGUAAAGCGCACGUAGGCGGCUAUUCAAGUCGGGGGUGAAAGCCCGGGGCUCAACCCCGGAACAGCCCUCGAAACUAGAUAGCUAGAAUCUUGGAGAGGUCAGUGGAAUUCCGAGUGUAGAGGUGAAAUUCGUAGAUAUUCGGAAGAACACCAGUGGCGAAGGCGACUGACUGGACAAGUAUUGACGCUGAGGUGCGAAAGCGUGGGGAGCAAAGCAGGAUUAGAAACCCC